rnacentral:misc_RNA from 1 species
UACGGAGGGUGCGAGCGUUAAUCGGAAUUACUGGGCGUAAAGCGCGCGUAGGCGGCGUGUUAAGCCAGAUGUGAAAGCCCCGGGCUCAACCUGGGAAUGGCAUCCGGAACUGUCAGGCUAGAGUGCAGGAGAGGAAGGUAGAAUUCCCGGUGUAGCGGUUAAAUGCGUAGAGAUCGGGAGGAAUACCAGUGGCGAAGGCGGCCUUCUGGACUGACACUGACGCUGAGGUGCGAAAGCGUGGGUAGCGAACAGG